GUACACGCUGUGACUAGCAUAUCAAUAAGCGGAGGAAAAGAAACUAACAAGGAUUCCCCUAGUAACGGCGAGUGAAGCGGGAAGAGCUCAAAUUUGAAAUCUUAAAGGGUUUCCCUUUACGAAUUGUAGUUUAAAGAAGUGUUUUCUGUUGAGGUUUUGGUAAAAGUUCUUUGGAAUAGGACAUCAUAGAGGGUGAGAAUCCCGUAUUUGACCUUUACUUUCAACUUUGUGAUACACUUUCAAAGAGUCGGAUUGUUUGGGAAUGCAGUCCAAAAUGGGUGGUAAAUUUCAUCUAAAGCUAAAUAUUGGCGAGAGACCGAUAGCGAACAAGUACCGUGAGGGAAGAUGAAAAGAACUUUGAAAAGAGAGUUAAACAGUACGUGAAAUUGUCAAAAGGGAAGCGUUUGACACCAGUGUUGUUUUUCUGAAAAUCAAUUAAAGAACUGUUUAUGCUAAGCUGUUUAGACUUUAUCAGCUAUCUGUUUAGUUUUGAGCUUUUCUUUAAUGCACUUUUCAGUUAACAAGUCAACAUCAAUUUCUUUUGCUGUAAAAAAGCUUGAGGAGGGUGGCUCGAGAUUCGUCUUAAGUGUUUAUAGCCUCUUGCCUAUGCAGUCGGAGAGAUUGAGGUCUGCAGCGUAGAUCCUUCGGGGCUAAAUGCAUUUGUGCUAAGUUAUAGCAUUUUAUAGACAACUUGUUGACUAUGAUUUGUCUUGUAGCUUACUCGCUUAUGUUAUUUUACCUACGCUUAGGAUGUUGAAGAUGUAGCACAUCAU
rnacentral:rRNA from 1 species